GACGAACGCUGGCGGCGUGCUUAACACAUGCAAGUCGAACGGGCCUUGUCCCCUUUUUUUUUGGGGGUGGGGUUAGUGGCGAACGGGUGAGUAACACGUGAGUAACCUGCCCCUCACUUCUGGAUAACCGCUUGAAAGGGUGGCUAAUACGGGGUGUUCUGGCCUGCUCGCAUGGGUGGGUUUGGAAAGAUUCGACCGGUUUUGGUUGUUUUGGUGGGGGAUGGGCUCGCGGCCUAUCAGCUUGUUGGUGGGGUGAUGGUCUGCCAAGGCUUUGACGGGUAGCCGGCCUGAGAGGGUGGGCGGUCACACUGGGACUGAGACACGGCCCAGACUCCUACGGGAGGCAGCAGUGGGGAAUAUUGCACAAUGGGCGCAAGCCUGAUGCAGCGACGCCGCGUGAGGGAUGGAGGCCUUCGGGUUGUGAACCUCUUUCGCCAGUGAAGAAGGUCCUGCUCUUUGUGGUGGGGUUGACGGUAGCUGGGUUAAUGAAGCGCCGGCUAACUACGUG
rnacentral:rRNA from 1 species